rnacentral:rRNA from 1 species
UUUAUGGAGAGUUUGAUCCUGGCUCAGGAUGAACGCUGGCGGCGUGCCUAAUACAUGCAAGUCGAGCGAACAGAUAAGGA